CAGCAGCAGCACCCAACCCAAACCAGCCCUCGCACACUCUGUCUUCUUCCUCCUCUCUCCCCCCCACCCAACGACCCGCCGGCAACCUCCUCUCGCCCAGCCACCGCCGGCGCCCCCCGCCCUCUCCUCCCCUCCGUAGUCUCCGCAUCCAACCUCCACAGCUUUCCCUCCCCGCGCCCGAAAGCCCACACGUCCACGGCAACCAAUCUCUGGAUCCGCAUCGCAGGAUGCCGCUGGAUCCGGGAGCAGGGCGUCUCACCCUGCAGCCGCCGUUCGGGUCGAGCUCCGCGGCGGCGAAUGCCGGUGCUCCUCUGCUUCCUCGACAACCAAGGACGCAGGCCCUGGAUCCGUGCUCGCCUUCUUCCUCCACCAGCCUCGGUGCCCAACUCCCUUCACCCGCCGUCGCCGUCGCCAUCGUGGACUCCCAAGCAGUCGAGGAGCAUGAGGACCCGAGCUCGAGCGCGACCACGAUGCAACGCACAAGGUCCCUGUUUCCUGCACAAGUAUACAAAACACCUUGCUUGGUUGGGGAGCAGCAACAUCAAGGCUGUUGAACAAACAGCAAUAUCAAGACGUUGAACAAAUAGCAACAUCAGUUGCUGAUAGCGUACUGAGUUACUCACCAUGAACCGUCCUCAUUCUGUAACUUCUGAAUGAAUUCAGUCACUCACCUGAUGCAUUGUUCUACUUCAUCUUCUUGAUGCCCAGGGUGUUUCAGUACCACCGCUUGUAUGACCAACGAGGAACAAGCUAAGGUGGUGGCUGCCGAUUUGCCGCGUCAACAAGGUCUCGUUCCUCCCUGGUUUGCACAAGCUACGUCAGGCAACUGCAAACCCCGUACGACCAUGGCCCACACCCCUGAAGCUUCCCCUGUCCGCAACAACUUCUGGAUCAAAGGAUUGUUGCUUAAUCCCGGGCUGCUCUACCUUGAAGGAAAAGGGGUCCUCCUUGAGAUCAUAUAGAUGGCGCAAGGAAAAUGGUAAUAUGGUCAUUGUGGUGGGUGAGGGUGCUGGCCAAGAUCUCAUCGCCUAAAGCAUCAAUUUUGUGGACCUCACCAUCCCUUCCUUGGUUUGACAGAGGAGGAUGGAUCGAGGACCGUCCGUUGCGGAUUCGCCGCCUCACCUGUGUCGGUCUCGUGCGUGGCUGGGGUUCUUCGCCGAGCACCAACAUCGUCCAUGGAGCCAGCGAGCUCACACACCUGCACCUUCAGAAGCACCACGUUAGCUACUUGAACAUCAAGUGCUACGACGAGGUUGCUGGGCGCUAGCCGUGGCGUCCGACGCGUGUAAUGAUUGAAGGUUUUUUGGGUCAGUGCUCGUGCGACGCCGGCGCCACUGGUACUGUACGGCCUCGGCUAUAGUCGUUCUGGAUUGUUGCUUAAUCCCAGGGCUGCUCUACCUUGAAGGAAAAGGGGUCCUCCUUGAGAUCAUAUAGAUGGCGCAAGGACAAUGGUCAUAUGGUCGUUGUGGUGGCUGAGGAUGCUGGCCAAGAUCUCAUCGCCCAAAGCAUGAAGUUUGUGGACCUCACCAUCCCUUCCUCUGUUUGGGUGAGUCCUUGGUCUUCUCUCUCUGUCUCUCUCUCUGAGAUGGUCCGGCCAUCGAGCUGUGGGUGAUUCUGGUGCUGGCAAUCAAGCCGCUGAUUUAGUGUUUGGAUUUGUGGUGGCCUUCUUUUGUGAUUGUGAUUGUGCUCGUCUUUCUUGUUGAUCAAAUUGGUCUCUUGUAAUUCUACGAUGGGCCCUUUUAACUCUGCAUGCUACAGGGUUUGGUUAUGGUCCAUGUUUAUUCUUGAUAGGAUCCUUAGGCUGGGAUUUUGACUUGUUAAUGGCUAUCAAAUAAAACAAAAUGCUUACCUAUUGGUGUA